GGAAGGCAUGUGAACCCAAUCAGUAUCAAGGACAUAUCACGAAAGUUUGGGAUUAUUGAGUCACAUACUUCUUUUCCCACAAUACCUGAACCUGGUGCUGUGCCAUUUUGUCACCACUUGUCUGAGGACGGAGCCAGUAUGGAAGAUGAACCGAGAGACAGAAAAGGCCUGGGUCCUGUUUAAGUCUCUAGGUCAGCUGGGCUCUGUCACUUGCAACUCAAAGGGCUGUACCUGAGGGAAAAAGUAAGGAGGAUGCUGGGAAGCAAAGGAGGCUGAAAGCUGAAAGACCAUUGGAAGUCAAGUUCUUUAAACCAAAACUCCCGGGGUGCCUGGGUGGCUCAGUCGGUAAGGCGUCUGACUUCCGCUCAGGUCAUGGUCUUGCGGUUUGUGAGUUUGAGCCCCGCAUGGCGCUCGGUGGUGACCGCUCAGAGCCUGGAGCCUGCUUCGGAUUCUGUGUCUUCCCCUCUCUCUGCCCCUCCCAUGGUCAUGCUCUG